rnacentral:rRNA from 1 species
CUGAGCUAAAUCCCCAGCCCUGAACGCACCCAAUCUCAUCUGAUUUUGGAAGCUAAGCAGGGUCGGGCCUGGUUAGUACUUGGAUGGAAGACGGCACUGCUUUUC